ensembl:lncRNA
GGUAGACAUGUCUGUAUGUUGUGUUAUGAUAUGAGGGUAGGUUAGUGUUAUGAUAUGAGGGUAGGUUAGUGUUAUGAUAUGAGGGUAGGUUAGUGUUAUGAUAUGAGGGUAGGUUAGUGUUAUGAUAUGAGGGUAGGUUAGUGUUAUGAUAUGAGGGUAGGUUAGUGGUAGACAUGUCUGUAUGUAGUGUUAUGAUAUGAGGGUAGGUUAGUGUUAUGAUAUGAGGGUAGGUUAGUGGUAGACAUGUCUGUAUGUAGUGGUAUGAUAUGAGGGUAGGUUAGUGUUAUGAUAUGAGGGUAGGUUAGUGUUAUGAUAUGAGGGUAGGUUAGUGUUAUGAUAUGAGGG